GAGUGCCGCAAUGAUGACUCUUUAUUUGCUACUCUUGACCAUGAGAAUGACGAGAGCUAUUACCACCAUUUUGAUACUGAGGCACUU
rnacentral:snoRNA from 1 species